rnacentral:rRNA from 1 species
AUUGAACGCUGGCGGCAUGCUUUACACAUGCAAGUCGAACGGUAACAGGUUAAGCUGACGAGUGGCGAACGGGUGAGUAAUGCAUCGGAACGUGCCCGGUCGUGGGGGAUAACGCAGCGAAAGCUGCGCUAAUACCGCCUACGAUCUGAGGAUGAAAGCGGGGGACCGUAAGGCCUCGCGCGAUCGGAGCGGCCGAUGUCAGAGUAGGUAGUUGGUGGGGUAAAGGCUCACCAAGCCGACGAUCUGUAGCUGGUCUGAGAGGACGACCAGCCACACUGGGACUGAGACACGGCCCAGACUCCUACGGGAGGCAGCAGUGGGGAAUUUUGGACAAUGGGCGCAAGCCUGAUCCAGCAAUGCCGCGUGCAGGAAGAAGGCCUUCGGGUUGUAAACUGCUUUUGUACGGAGCGAAAAGGCUCUCUCUAAUACAGGGGGCUCAUGACGGUACCGUAAGAAUAAGCACCGGCUAACUACGUGCAGCCGCCGCCGUAA